AGAAUUUUAUGAUAAAAAAAGUCUCAAUGCAGCGGCAGAUAAAGCCAAAGAAGCUGAAAAUCAAAAAAAAACUCGGCUUUCGAAGAAGUUAGUGGAAAAAAAUCAUUAAAAUAAAGGUUCCUGGCGAAAAUCAGACAACCUCAUCAUAAUCAAUUAAUUUACCAUUUGAAUUAAUAGUUUCAAUGUAUUGUUAUGUUAAACAAAAUCAUUGAAAGUAUAAAAUAUUUGUAAUAAAAAGCAUUUUUUGAAUCAAGAA